CAAACUGGAGAUGGCGACCGGCGCACGGGUGAGUAACACGUAUCCAACCUGCCGAUAACUCGGGGAUAGCCUUUCGAAAGAAAGAUUAAUACCCGAUGGCAUAAUAGAACCGCAUGGUUUGAUUAUUAAAGAAUUUCGGUUAUCGAUGGGGAUGCGUUCCAUUAGGCAGUCGGUGGGGUAACGGCCCACCAAACCUUCGAUGGAUAGGGGUUCUGAGAGGAAGGUCCCCCCACAUUGGAACUGAGACACGGUCCAAACUCCUACGGGAGGCAGCAUG
rnacentral:rRNA from 1 species